rnacentral:rRNA from 1 species
AGAAUCAACGCUGGCGGCGUGCCUAACACAUGCAAGUCGAACGAGAAAGUGGAGCAAUCCAUGAGUAAAGUGGCGCACGGGUGAGUAACACGUGACUAACCUACCCUUGAGUGGGGGAUAACCUAGAGAAAUCUGGGCUAAUACCGCAUAAUACCUUCGGGUCAAAGGAGCAAUUCGCUUAAGGAGGGGGUCGCGGCCGAUUAGCUAGUUGGCGGGGUAAUGGCCCACCAGGCGAUGAUCGGUA